CUACGGGGUGCUGCAGUGAGGAAUUUUGCACAAUGGGGGGAACCCUGAUGCAGCAACGCCGCGUGGAGGAUGACGCAUUUCGGUGUGUAAACUCCUUUUAUAUGUCAAGAAAAUGACGGUAGCAUAUGAAUAAGCACCGGCUAACUCCGUGCCAGCAGCCGCGGUAAUACGGAGGGUGCAAGCGUGACUCGGAAUCACUGGGCGUAAAGGACGCGUAGGCGGGUUGGAAAGUCAGGUGUGAAAUCCUACAGCUUAACUGUAGAACUGCACUUGAAACUUCUAAUCUAGAGUAUGGGAGGGGGAGAUGGAAUUAGUGGUGUAGGGGUAAAAUCCGUAGAUAUCACUAGGAAUACCUAAAGCGAAGGCGAUCUCCUGGAACAUUACUGACGCUAAGGCGUGAAAGCGUGGGGAGCAAACAGGAUUAGAUACCCUCGUAGUC
rnacentral:rRNA from 1 species